rnacentral:lncRNA from 1 species
AAUAAGUGAUAUGCGUUUGAUUGAGAUCUUCAACGUUUCACGAGCAGAGUAAUCCUCUGUCUAGGGUUUGAUUAUGUUCUGUUGGAGCCUUCGAAGAGCUGGACUUGGAGAAGAUCACCCGAACAAAGAGGAAGCCCAGCUGGAAAAUCCGAGCAAUUGACGUGUAAUCGCGGAAAAUCCAAUGACGCAGAGAACUCCGCUUUAUCUACGAAGCAAACCGAACCAUGAACUCGAUCAAAAUUACAUCCUGAACUCGAAAUCUACAAGUAAUCGCUGCGGUAGAUGUGGAUUAGCAAAAAACGUGCUGAAUCCAGCGCCAUGAACAUCCAAUUCGAAAGGCCAGGUGUAAAACACUGCAGUUCAAUGAUCAAUUAGGAUCUUCAACGUUUCUUGAGCGGAGUGAUCCUCUGUCUAGGGUUUGAUCAUGUCAUACUGAACUAACGUUCUGUUGGAACCUUCGAUAAGCUGGACUUGGAGAGGAUCGUCGAAAAAAAUCGGAAGCAGAACUGGAAAAUCAGGAAUCGACUUGUCCUCAAGGACGAUCGAAUGACGCAUAAAACUCGAUGAUAUCUACGAAACAAACCGAACAUGAACUCAAUCAAAAAUUACAUCAAGAACUCUAGAUCUACAGGUGAUCGCUGCGAAAGAUCUGGAACUGGAAAAUACUGCAGUGCGAUGUGUGAUAUGCGUUCAAUUCGAAUCUUCAACGUUUCACAAGCAGAGUGAUCCACUGUCUAGGGUUUGACUAUACUAUACUGAACGAAAAUUCUGUUGGAACCUUCAAUAAGCUGAAAAAUAAGAGCAGUCGACGUAAGCUCAAGAAAAAUCUUAUGACGCAGAGAACUUCACUAAAUCAACGAGCAAACUAAACAUGAACUUUACCAAAGUUACAUCCUGAACUCUAAAUCUACAGCUACAGCUGCGGAAGAUUAGCAACAACGCCAUCAAUACCCAACUAGCAAUGCCAACCGGAAAAAUACUGCUGUGUGAUGUGUGAUAUGCAUUUAAUUAGGAUCCUCAACGUUUCACGAGCGGAGUGUUGCUCUGUCUAGGGUUUGAUUAUGUUCUAAAAAAGUUCUGUUGGAGCCUUCAAUAAGUUAAGCUUGCAGAAGAUCGUCGUAAAAAGGAUGCCGAUUUGCUGAGAAGUAGGAGAAAUCAACUUAUCAUCAAGGGACAUCUACUGAAGCAGAGAACUCCACUUUAUCUACGAAGCAAACCGAACAUGAACUCGAUCAAAAUUACAUCCUGAACCAAGAAUGGAAGUCGUCUCUAGCGACAAAUAGCACAACGGUCUGCGAGGACAGUCAUUUUUGCAGCAUGAUAUCAACACCUCACUACGUGCGCCCUGUACAGAUAUAUGGAGCAUCCAAAUGCACUGCUUGGAUCGUGGGAUAAAUCGUUUGUCGUUGGAUCGGUGAUUGCCAUCCUUUUCCUGAACUCUACAUCUACAAGUAAUCGCUGCCGAAGAUCUGGAUUAGCCACAAAUGUACUGAACCCAACUUCAUCACCAUCCAAUCAGCAAUGCUAGCUGGAAAAAUGCUGCAGUUAUAUCUGUAAUAUGCGUUCCAGUUAGAUCUUGGUCGUUCCAUUAGCGGAGUUAUCGUCUGUCUAGGGUUUGAUUUUGUUAUGACGAAAACAAAUUUUACUGGAAGCAUUCGAUAAGCUGGACUUAGAGAAGAUCAUCGGUAGAGCGGAGGCACCUACAGCGGUGCCAACGAAAAGGAAAACCGUCUCCUACGUCUUCCCACGGAAAUUGCAGUCAACAUCGACUUCAGUUGUUCAAUCGUAUUACAUUCUUCCACAUCAGCAGGAUACUACAAACCAAUAUUGUCGUCGAAAUUUAGGGGCGAUAAUCGAUAAUUAGCAUCGAGGAGCAAAGCACAUCACUCUUGAAAGCUUCCACUAAAGUUCUACGUCCACAUCUCACUUUCCUCCGGUAACUUCCGUUUGUCAACGACUACGAUAUAGAACACCAUAUUCACGGCCGGUCUUUUCAAGGAUUUUUCAAAUCGAACAGAUUUUGAGUCUACAGCUUACAUCCAUAUGUUAAGGAAUAGAUUGGAUUUUGAAGAAUGAAAUCGACGUUCUCAACGUGAAUAAUCCAUUAACCCACCUCUUCAAAAGUGUGUCAGCCAACUAGGGAGGAAUCAAGGAGAUUUAAGUACAUCAAAUCAGUUAAAAACUGCAUAAAACUAGGCGAUAAAAGAUAACACAACGAUUUUGCAUUCCUAGCUGAUUUUCCUAAUGUCAACAUCAAUUGCAAUCGAACUAUGCAACUAGAAGCGUGAUGCAACUUAUUAUACGCCGUUGGCUACUAUUACUGUCUCAAUAUGUCGGAUAUUGAUAAAUAGAGUGAAAUUCACAAAAUCAAACUGAGCGCCAACAAAGCAAUAACGCACAAGAAAGCUUGGAUUUCACUGACAUCGUGUCUCAGGAAGCAACAUAUUAAUAGAACAGACUGUAGCAUCAAACUACAAACACAUAUUAGGAAAGAAGCGGAGUUUUACCUUAACUACGCCAACUUUAGAUUUAUAUUUAAUAUAAAUUGUGCCAUCUCAGCUGGGCACAACUACGUACCUGAGUGAUUUCACUAGAAUGAACUAAAAAUGGAGAUGCCUAAAUCUAAGAAUUUGCUAUGACGCCAUGACGGAAGUUGUGUACUAAGGAUAAGAAAAUAGACUGCCGACAAAUUUUGAGCAACCUUAAACAAUGCAAAAAAAAACUCGACUGAAUUCACCGGGAAUCGUUCGUAAGACCAGGUAAGCUGCGGUUGGUUUAUCGCAACAUCACUGCAACACGUUAUCCCAAACAUUAAACGGAGAAAUCUGAAUUCACUUAGAUUGCGAACUUCAAAUCAAAUAACAUCCUGGUCAACAGUGACGAACAUCAUAAGGGUAAACAUUUCAAAACUGCAUUUCACUUAAAAAAACAUCGAGGAAAAUAAACGCCCAACGUGAACUGAAUGGUGUCAACUGUUAGGAAGGAGCCACACAAAAAUCAUGAAACAGGAAAAAAUCACUACAAUAACUUCAACUCGAGUCACAUAGAUCUUCCAUCGUCACCGUUCCAAACCACCACCAGUCAUCAUAUAUCCUACCAAAUGCAACAAAAAGUUUAGAAGCGCAGCGCCAAUCGGAAAACAUUCGUCAUUUGCUGUGACCACCGACCAGUCCUAGCGAAUGCCGCAAACUCCGGAAACUGAACGGGCGUCGUGCAGUACUACCAAGCUAAACACCAUUAUUACGAACAAAUCAUAUUAUGUUCAAUCUCUUCCAAAGUGUUACUGUAGGUACCUAUUCAAUGAAAAAACGGUGCAUUUCGAUA